UACGAAGGGGGCUAGCGUUGUUCGGAAUUACUGGGCGUAAAGCGCGUGUAGGCGGGUCUUUUAAGUCAGGGGUGAAAUGCCAAGGCUCAACCUUGGAACUGCCUUUGAUACUGGAGACCUUGAGUCCGGGAGAGGUGAGUGGAAUUGCGAGUGUAGAGGUGAAAUUCGUAGAUAUUCGCAAGAACACCAGUGGCGAAGGCGGCUCACUGGCCCGAUACUGACGCUGAGGCACGAAAGCGUGGGGAGCAACAGGG
rnacentral:rRNA from 1 species